rnacentral:rRNA from 1 species
GUGCCAGCAGCCGCGGUAAUACGUAGGUGGCAAGCGUUGUCCGGAUUUAUUGGGCGUAAAGCGCCCGCAGGCGGCUUGAUAAGUUUCAGGUGAAAUCUCCCGGCUCAACCGGGAGGGUGCCUGGAAAACUAUCAGGCUUGAGUCAUGGAGAGGGAUGUGGAAUUCCCGGUGUAGUGGUGAAAUGCGUAGAUAUCGGGAGGAACACCAGUGGCGAAGGCGGCAUCCUGGCCAUGUACUGACGCUCAGGGGCGAAAGCGUGGGGAGCAAACCGGAUUAGAUACCCGUGUAGUCC